rnacentral:rRNA from 1 species
UACAGAGGGUGCAAACGUUGUUCGGAAUUACUGGGCGUAAAGCGCGUGUAGGCGGCUCGGCGAGUCGGGUGUGAAAGCCCUGGGCUUAACCUAGGAAGUGCACUCGAAACUGCCAAGCUUGAGUUCUGGAGAGGAAGGCGGAAUUCUCGGUGUAGAGGUGAAAUUCGUAGAUAUCGAGAGGAACACCGGUGGCGAAGGCGGCCUUCUGGACAGCAACUGACGCUGAGACGCGAAAGCGUGGGGAGCAAACAGG